rnacentral:lncRNA from 1 species
CAAAAAGGAAACACCACUGUCACCUAAAGAUCUGCAAUAAGGAAGACAAACCUCACACAACGUCCACCUGCUGACAGAGAAUGGACACACAAUGUCUCUACUGGAAUUAAUCCUUAUUUUUGUGCUUCACUUUGAAGCAGGCAUCAGUGGAGAACCUAUCUAUCUCUACAACAGAGCUGGACAUGAUGUUAGUCUGCCCUGUGCCAGUGCAUCACCCUCUGACACAACAUGCUCCAUCGUUACAUGGUUUUACAACAGAGAUCGAUCUCAGACUUUAACUGAGGUUCAGGAAGGAAAAGUUGAGAAGAGCUCAGCCCGAGCUGCCAGGAUGAGUCUGAACACUUCCUGCUCUUUGGUCAUUAACAACAUCACUGCUGAGGAUGUUGGUCAAUACAUCUGUCAGCAGGGGAUGUACAAUGAUAAAGCCAUAUACAUUGUCAGUGUUCUGACAAUCUCUCCAUCUCCUCCAGACGCUGAUCCAGAGAGGGACGGUGAAGUCACAUUAGAGUGCUCUCUGUCGAGAUACACUGAACUCGGUCAUUGUGAAAAGAACAGCGUCCGCUGGGUGAAUGAGACAGGAACUGUGCUGCUUGAUAAAGGUGUCGGGUACAAGUUCCUCGGAGAGAUUGACUGUGUCUCUGGUCUGAAAGUGAAGCGUCAGAGUGGCCACAACAGGAGAUACACCUGCCAGUUUGUUGAUGAAAACAAUGUAAAGAUAGAUGCUGACUACACACCUGUCUUCAUAGGAGGGACAGGAGACGAUCAGCUAGUAAAACCUCAUUCAGGUAAGAUAAUAUGCAGCUCACCAGAUACAUUCCUAAAAGUUUCAUAUACUGGUGUUAUGUAUGAGCUACAUUAA